rnacentral:sRNA from 1 species
AUUUGGGCUAUGAAAAG